rnacentral:rRNA from 1 species
UACGAAGGGGGCUAGCGUUGCUCGGAAUCACUGGGCGUAAAGGGUGCGUAGGCGGGUCUUUAAGUCAGGGGUGAAAUCCUGGAGCUCAACUCCAGAACUGCCUUUGAUACUGAGGAUCUUGAGUUCGGGAGAGGUGAGUGGAACUGCGAGUGUGGAGGUGAAAUUCGUAGAUAUUCGCAAGAACACCAGUGGCGAAGGCGGCUCACUGGCCCGAUACUGACGCUGAGGCACGAAAGCGUGGGGAGCAAACAGGG